rnacentral:rRNA from 1 species
AUUGAACGCUGGCGGCAGGCCUCACACAUGCAAGUCGAACGAGUGGCGGACGGGUGCGUCAUGUCUGGGAAACUGCCUGCUGGAGGGGGAUAACUACUGUAAACGGUAGCUAAUACCGCAUACCAUCAGCUUUGCCCAGAUGGGAUUGGCUUGUUGGUGGGGUAACGGCUCACCAAGGCGACGCUCCCUAGCGGGUCUGAGAGGAUGACCAGCCACACGGGAACUGAGACACGGUCCAGACUCCUACGGUAGGCAGCAGUGGGGAAUAUUGCACAAUGGGCGCAAGCCUGAUGCAGCCAUGCCGCGUGUAUGAAGAAGGCCUUCGGGUUGUAAAGUACUUUCAGAGGGGAGGCGUUACCCGCAGAAGAAGCACCGGCUAACUCCGUGCCAGCCGCCGCGGUAAUUC